GAACUGCUGAGGAGUCCCAUAAUAGGACGAAACGCACGUCUAGUGC
rnacentral:hammerhead_ribozyme from 1 species